UACGUAGGGCGCGAGCGUUGUCCGGAAUUAUUGGGCGUAAAGAGCUCGUAGGCGGUCUGUCGCGUCGGCUGUGAAAACCCGGGGCUCAACCCCGGGCCUGCAGUCGAUACGGGCAGACUAGAGUGUGGUAGGGGAGACUGGAAUUCCUGGUGUAGCGGUGGAAUGCGCAGAUAUCAGGAGGAACACCGGUGGCGAAGGCGGGUCUCUGGGCCAUAACUGACGCUGAGGAGCGAAAGCGUGGGGAGCGAACAGG
rnacentral:rRNA from 1 species